GUAAGGAAUAUUGGUCAAUGGAGGGAACUCUGAACCAGCCAUCCCGCGUGCAGGAAGACGGCCCUCUGGGUUGUAAACUGCUUUUAUCUGGGAAGAAAAGCCUUCAUUCAUGGGGGUCUGACGGUACCAGAGGAAUAAGCACCGGCUAACUCCGUGCCAGCAGCCGCGGUAAUACGGAGGGUGCAAGCGUUAUCCGGAAUUACUGGGUUUAAAGGGUGCGUAGGCGGCGUUGUAAGUCAGAGGUGAAAGGUUUCGGCUUAACCGGAGAAUUGCCUUUGAUACUGCAGUGCUAGGAUUGGGUUGAGGUUGGCGGAAUGUGACAUGUAGCGGUGAAAUGCAUAGAUAUGUCAUAGAACACCGAUUGCGAAGGCAGCUGACUGGACCUUGAUUGACGCUGAGGCACGAAAGCGUGGGGAGCAAACAGGAUUAGAUACCCGAGUAGUCC
rnacentral:rRNA from 1 species